AUGUGCCCUUUACGAAUACUUAGUUAUUUAUAACGGACACCAUGUGCCCGUUACGAAUACUUGGUCAAGCUGAUAAGGAAAGCCCAUUAGGGUUUCAAACUUUCACUCCCCUUAGCCGUCAAACCCCCUUCCACUCAUCCUGUCUCUCUUCUCCUCUCUCCUCCUCAUUCAUUCUCUCUUUCUUCUCGUCACUCAAACUGAAGCAGUAAUUCACCACCCUUCUCAAAAUCUUCUUCUUCUCUAACUCUCCCACUAAAAACCCCAAUUCCCAAAUUUCCCCUCUUUCUCUCUCCUCCGAAUUGCAUCAAUGGCAGGCGAUGGACCCAAUUUGGAAUGUCGGAUGUUCAAGUCUCGUUACCUAGAAAUGGACAUGGCGAUGAUGUCAUGAUGAUGAUUCAGGUGAAGAAAUCGCUGAUAUGUGUGGGAUUUUGGAUCUCAGUCACUAGUGGAAGGUUAUUCUAAGGACUGGAUUGGUUAAUAUUGAUAAUGAAGAAUUGAAGGUCGUAGAAAUGAUGGUUUCAUUAAUGGUUUUGGGGUUUUUUCAAUCUUUCUCAGUGGACCCAGAGAAGAUGCAACCAGAAUUGGUUCUCCUGGUGUUGUUAGGCGUCAAGCUGUUGAUAUCUCUCCACUAAGGCGUGUUAAUCUGGAAAUCUAUCUUCUUACUAUUGGAGCUCGUGAGAGUGCUUUCAUGAACAUCAAGACCAUUUUCGAGGGCCUUGGUGAUGAACUCAUCAAUGCCGCCAAGGGUUCAUCCAACAAUCAGUUUGGACAGAAAUCAUGAAUCGUUGCUAAAAAGGAUGGAAGAUAUGGCUGUACAAAAUUUGUUAAGCAAGCUUCAUCAAGACAGCAUAAAAUUCUAUCUUUCAAGUUCUUAGUCUACUAAGGAAUAUAAGCUUAUUUAAAUUUUCAUGUUGUAUUACGGAGUAUUAUUUAUGCAGUAGACUUUUGACUCAUGUUAGCGAGUUGUUGUAAAGUCAAUUUGGACAUUUGUGAAAGUUGUAUUAUUGAUUUUAUAAUUAAAUAUUGAUAAUUUGUUUUUUGAAAUCAA